UUAGCGACUAAGCGUACACGGUGGAUGCCCUGGCAGUCAGAGGCGAUGAAGGACGUGCUAAUCUGCGAAAAGCGCCGGCGAGGUGAUAUGAACCCUUGACCCGGCGAUGUCCGAAUGGGGAAACCCAGUGUGAUUCCGUCACACUAUCGUUAACUGAAUACAUAGGUUAACGAGGCGAACCGGGGGAACUGAAACAUCUAAGUACCCCGAGGAAAAGAAAUCAACCGAGAUUCCCCCAGUAGCGGCGAGCGAACGGGGAGCAGCCCGGAGUCUGAAUCAGCUUGUGUGUUAGUGGAACGGUCUGGAAAGUCCGACGGUACAGGGUGAUAGUCCCGUACACGAAAGCACACAGGUUGUGAACUCGAAGAGUAGGGCGGGACACGUGGUAUCCUGUCUGAAUAUGGGGGGACCAUCCUCCAAGGCUAAAUACUCCUGACUGACCGAUAGUGAACCAGUACCGUGAGGGAAAGGCGAAAAGAACCCCGGCGAGGGGAGUGAAAAAGAACCUGAAACCGUGUACGUACAAGCAGUGGGAGCCUCUUUAUGGGGUGACUGCGUACCUUUUGUAUAAUGGGUCAGCGACUUAUAUUCUGUAGCAAGGUUAACCGUAUAGGGGAGCCGAAGGGAAACCGAGUCUUAACUGGGCGUUAAGUUGCAGGGUAUAGACCCGAAACCCGGUGAUCUAGCCAUGGGCAGGUUGAAGGUUGGGUAACACUAACUGGAGGACCGAACCGACUAAUGUUGAAAAAUUAGCGGAUGACCUGUGGCUGGGGGUGAAAGGCCAAUCAAACCGGGAGAUAGCUGGUUCUCCCCGAAAGCUAUUUAGGUAGCGCCUCGUGAACUCAUCUUCGGGGGUAGAGCACUGUUUCGGCUAGGGGGCCAUCCCGGCUUACCAACCCGAUGCAAACUGCGAA
rnacentral:rRNA from 2 species